GAGGAGGAAGCUGCAGGGGCAGAGAAGGAGCCAGGGGAAGCGGGGGGUCAGGGCAUUCCCGAGACCCGACUGGUAUCCAUGAGGAUGCGGGUUCGAUCCCUGGCCUCACUCAGUGGGUCAAGGAUCUGGUGUUGCCCUGAGCUGUGGUGUAGGUCACAGACGUGGCUUGCAUCUGGCGUUGCUGUAGCUGUGGCUGUGGCUGUGACCGGCAGCUGCAGCUCUCUUUCAACCUCUAGCCUGGAAACUUCCAUAUGCCACAGGUGCAACCCUAAAAAGAAGAUGUGGGUUCAGGAGAAGGCUGGCCUCGGGAUGCCACAGGGAGCCCAGAUGAGUGAACGAAGCCCCCUCAUGGGCCGCGGGGCGGGGCCUUUACACCCCCCAGCCGUCUGUCCCUGGAGCUGGGGUCCCCUCCCCACUCCCCACAGCCUGUCCAGGCACGUCUGGUGCAGGGGGCUUUCAUCCAGGGCAGCCCCAGCAGCCGGGGGCAAGUGGCCUGCCCAGGUCAGGGGUCUGAUGGACACGGCGCUGUCCGGUUUGCUGGCCUGUCUCACUAUCCUGGGACAGGGGCAGGCGCUGUCAACCCCCAUUGAGUCCUCGCUUGCUGGAGCUGAGCAGCCAGGGGCCUCCGCAGGCCGACAGGCUCCAGACUCUUUUCAUAUCCUAAACACACCUGUGCACGUGCAAGUCCUUCUAAAUUUGGGACCCAGGGCAGCUGGUGGAGAUUCCAGAGCAAGGCAGGGGCUGACGAACGUGGGCGGUGGGAGGGUCGAGGGGCUACGCUGCGUGGGACCUGGUGGGGGUCCUGGCAGCCAAGCAGGGUGCCAGCCUGCAGUUGGGAUUUUGAGGGGUUUUAGGUCAGACCUGGCUGGGUCAAAGGUCAGGGGGCGUGACUGCAGGGACACUGUGUCCCUCGGCCUCUUUCUUUGCAAAUUGGGACUUCCCGUCAUCGUGAUGCAGCGAAAACGAAUCUGACUAGGAACCGUGAUGUUGCAGGUUCGAUCCCUGGCCUCGCUCAGUGGGUUAAGGAUCUGACGUUGCCAUGAGCUGUGGUGUAAGUCACAGGCAGGUCUCGGAUCUGGCUUUGCUAUGGCUGUGGUGUCGGCUGGCAGCUGCAGCUCCAAUUGGACUCCUGGCCUGGAAACCUCCAUAUGCCACGGGUGUGGCCCAAAAAAAA
rnacentral:lncRNA from 1 species